rnacentral:lncRNA from 10 species
CAGCUGGGAGUUGGUGGAGGCAGGGCAGUGGCCUGCUACUAUUGCUGCAGUAGCAGACCCUUUCACAACAGCAUUGUUUUGUCAUUUUGCAUCCAGAUUUCCGUUGGCUAACCUCAGUCUUAUCUUCCUCAUUUCUGUUUCCUGUUGAAGACACCAAGGGCCCUUCAAAACACAGAAGCUUCUUGCUCACGGCAGAAAGCCCAAUUCCAUCUGGCCCCUGCAGGUUGGCUCAGCACUGGGGAAUCAGAGUCCCCUCCAUGACCAAGGCACCACUCCACUGACAGGUAUGGUAUCCAUUUGCCCUCUCUUCUUGGAUUCUCAAGCUGGGGCAGAGUCCAUGGCAGCCAAGGGUGGCUUGGAUCUGCCCAUCCCAUUCUCUUCAGACCCUCCUCAGGGAUUAAGGUCAAAGGUGGGAGGAAGAAGGCUUCCAUUGGCCUUUUAUCCUAGAGGUUCUAAUGGAGGGGAAAAGGGGAUAGGAUAUUUUCUAUCCAAUCAGGAUGUUUAGGAGAUAGUCACAUGGAAGUGGAAUGGCCUUUGGACCCAGGAGUCAGGAAACCUGAGUAGCAGUCCUGGUUUUACCAUUUACCCAAUGUGUAUCUUUGGGUAAGUCCUUUCUCCAAUCUAGGACACAGUUUUUUCACCCCUUUUGCAAAAUAAAAAAGUAAAAAGAGGAAAAGAAUGAUUAGAUAGAUGCUGUCUAGAGACCCAUGGUUAUUAGAUUCCUAAUUUUCAUGAUUGUCAGCCCUCUGUCAAGAAAGAAGAUGAGAGUAAUCUUUGCAUAUGUAACUGUGGGUGGGGCUGAACACAUUCAAGAGGAGAGUGCUGGUGGUAAUCCAUAUAGCACUCUCUGAGAGGCAUGACUCAAAGAUGAAAGCCUCUUUUCUAGUCCAAUCUUUGACUCCUAGAGAUUCAAAAUUGAAAGACUCUUAGAGACUAGGUACAUAUGGAAGAAACUGAGGUCCAGAAAGAGGAAGAAAGGGACUUGCCCAAAGUCAUACAGAGAAUCUGUAGCACAGCUGGGUCUGGGCUCCCAGGUCAGUCCUCUUUUUGCUCUAUCCUAGGAGGACUGAGACAUCAAGCAGCAGGACCUGUCCUGUAACUGACCCAGGACAGGUCCUGCUCAUACUAGAGGCAGUCUGGGAUUUUUAGGCAUGGUCCUGAGGACUUCUUCUUUUCUUCUAUUUUUCUUUCAGGUACUUGGCUCACUCUGAGUGUUCAGAGAUUCCUAGACACCUACUUACCCCUAAUUCUUCUGGUCUAUUCCCUCCAAUUCCCUCCAUAAAAACUGACCCAUCCUUUGCAUCAACAAUAGUGGCUUGAUGACGCUCUUCAGUAGAGGAUUUUGCAUUUCAUAUGGGGAAAAAUGAUGUUAUUCUAAGUAAUAUAACAGACCAAGAGAAGAGCUUUCAAAUUCCCUUAAUAUCAUCCCAUAUAGAUAUUUAUGUCUUCUUUCUAUGGGUCUGGUGAACAUUUCUCAACUGAAUGUGAUUUUCUUACAUACACUCCAUUGGAGAGGCAUACCAGUCUAGUUUCAGCUCAACCACUAACUCCUUCCAUUAAUACUGAAGCAAUGUUGUCUAUAAGGCUCCACAAAUUUCAAAGUACUAAUAAUUUUUAGCCCCUUUCAUGCCUCCUUUCCAGCCUUUCUGGAGGUGAAUAAAGUCAGAAAGUGCAUUCAAAAGGCUGUGAACACCUCCAGCUUAUCUAGGUCUUCUUACUGGAGCUGACAGCCAAUGAGUGUAAUGAUACAAAAAAGGUAACAAUCCAUUUCUUUUUCUCCUGCCAUCCCCAACUCAGACUCUGUUAAUCAGCUUGCUUGGCUGGCCUCCAACCAUAGGUCCAGGGGCUGAGACAAGGUCCUUUUGAGCUCCUAUGUGGGAGGCUCUGGAAAGCUUAGCAACACUUUCCAACAACUUUGCCAGGUAAGUAGGUAAGUCUCCUUGUUCUCAUUUCCAGAGAAGACAACUGAAACCCAAAGAAAGACUUGCCCAAGCCAUGAUUGGCUAGUUGAUGGCCAAGACAGCAUUAGAACACAAGUUUGUCGAUUCUGUCAUGCCAUAUUUGGUGACCAUGACUGCUGCUUUUGCUGCUGGGUGGAUUAGGCUGAAUUGGGUAGGUAGAAAAGGAAGUGAGGGAGUGAAAGAGCUUUAGUUUUGAGAUGACUGCCAGAACUUAAAUUGAAGGAGUAUGUUACCUUCUUAACAUUCAAUUAAAAGAAUAGAGCAAGAAAAGACACUGAUUGUUUUCUUGCUGAAAGACAAGGCUGAAUCCCUCUGUCUUACCUGGGCUGGGACAGGGCUUUCCGGCCUCAUGGGGGCAGUUUACCAUUUCUGGUAACCUUGUGAUGUUUGCCACUUUUCAUGACAAUAUUUAAUGUAGACCAGCUACCUGCUCACAGAUCAACUGCCACAGCUGGUAAGGGCAGUAAUUUGACACCAGCAACCUGGGAUUUUUAGCAACAGGAUCUGAUUGUUGCCAAGGGAAUUCUCCCAGAAGUUUCAGACCUGACCCUGCUCCUGGCAGCUUCCUUAUUGCCCUGGUGGCUUGUGGGUUCAGUGAUCCCAAAUGUUGCAUUACAAAGCUAUUGCCUGUUUUUGCCCUCUUUGUUGAUGUGUCUUCCCUUUCCCAGAGGGAUAUACAGAGAAGGGAGGCAAAAUAACCAAUGAGGAAAGCUGUAUAAGGCAUACUGCUGAACUGUAAAAAAUUUAUUGUAUAAACUUUACAAGUCUCCUCCCCAACAGGAGCCUUUGUUAUCUCAUUUAUAACCUAAGUGAGUGAGACUAGAUGAUCUUUAAGGGCACUUUAAUAGCUGCCAUUCUUGAGUCCCUAUGGGACAAGAGGAUCAUGUUAGGCAAGGCUGAGACCACAAGAAAUCAAUGUCACACCUGUCCAGAUCCUGCUAAAUCAAUUGCCAAUAGCUCUUUCUUUCAUUUUGGUCACACAACCACUACUUUUUGAGCAUUUGUUAUGUAUUGAAUACUGAACCAAAGGCUUUACAUGCAUUAUCUCCUGUCAUUCUCACAAUAACCUUAUGAGGUAGGUAUUAUACUUACAUACAUUUUGUGGGUGUAGAAAACUUGAGCUCAGAGAGGUGAAAUGAUGUAUCCAAGGUUGCCUAACUAGCUAAUGGAAGAACUAGGAUUUAAGCUCAUGUUUAACCUCAAAGCCUAUGUGCAUAACCACAACACUGAAAACACAGCUUGGGAGAAUUGAGAAGAGGGAGCAAGGAUGCUGACUCUAGGGUCUGGUACUUUCCUCAAGUCAGGGAGGCAGGAUGAUGACCAAAUUUUCCCCUCUCUGCUGCAUAGAGGAACCCACUGAAGCUUGGGACCCCUAGAAAUGCCAUAGCUACAGGACUCAGGCCUGAUGAGCUUCCAGCUGAGCACUGGGUGUCACUCGGGCUUUACCUGCUUAUCUUCAGGAUCUCUCUUCUGGGUCACAUCUCCCAGGAAGAUCUCACUUCCCCACAGAAGCUCUUGGCCUGGCCUCCUGCAGUGCCACGCUCCGUGUAUUUGACAAGCUGAGUUGGACACUCCAUGUGGUAGAGUGUCAGUUUGUCAAAUACCCCAAGUGCGGCACAUGCUUACCAGCUCUAGGCCAGGGCAGAUGGGAUAUGACGAAUGGACUGCCAGCUGGAUACAAGGAUGCUCACCAAGCACCAAGUUCUCACAAGUUAUUUUAUGUGACUUUGCAGGAACUGAGGCAUUAUAUCUGAGGACACCAGGGGAAAAGUGUGGCAUCUCAGGGAAAUACAGCCCUGGGCUGUGUCUACACACACCAUGAGAGUGCUGAUGGGGGCGCAAUAGUCUUGAAAAUGUAUAAAGUGUCCAGGAAUGGAAGUGCUCUUUGAUUCAUUAUUAUUUUCUUCCUUCAUAUUCCCCUCCCAGAGUCUCCUAUCUAGGACAUCAGCAUUCUCACACAAGCCUAAUGGCUUAUCUGAGUAAGCAGGGCUUAGAAAUUCACUUUCUUGAUACUCAGUCUUGCCUUCUAAACACUCCUUGAUCUUGCCUACCUCUCCCCUUUUCCACAUGUCUUUUCCUGUAGGAACACUUUCUCCAUUUAUUCCUGCCUAUCCAAUUCUUCCCUAUAUUUCCUGGACCAGCUAAAGUCCAGUGUUUCCAGAGACUUUUGAAAGUCAACUUACACUUUUUCCUUCUUCAUUCACAAAGCUCUUCUUCCCUGGGCCCUGGUAUGUAUGCCUUUCUCUCCUACUGUCUAAUAGCACCUCGUAAAUUGUCAAUGAACUUUUCUAAGGGGUAUUCUUGAAUUCCCAACUAGAUUGUGAGCUUCUGGAAGACAAGGCUAUGUCUUUGAUUGUUGUCUCCCCUACCACAGCCCAGUACUUUAGUUACAGAAAAUAAUAAAUAUUUACUGAUUGAUUGACUUUCCUCUUGUCCACUAGCUUUAGGUUUGGGGGCCAAAUUCUACCCUGGAUUUUGAAAAAUUCAAACUGUGAACACCACAAUGUUAUAGAGCAUAUGAGGUAGUAGCCAGCAUGAAGGAUGUUUUCUUCCUGAGAAACAGUGUCAAGGGCUGGAGGAAGAGGGCAAAAUAGCAGACUCAGAGGGCAAAUAAAUUUUGGUAUUACUUGGUCACACAAGGUUAUACAGGUGUUUUCUUGUAGGAUUUUUCAGAGCCUUUAAUAGUCUAAUGUUGCAUUGAGAAUCUCAAAGAGGAAACCAUAGAAUGAGGCAUUUGCCAUACCUAUCUGAUCAUGAAUUUUCUUUUCCCCCACAGCCUUCUCCUGUGUCAAUGUCCAAUGAAGCACGAUUUGGGAAACUGUCCUAGAGAAACUUUAUACCUUCCCGCUCUUCUGGAGAUCUUUUCCUCUUUUCAUUCAUCUACUUUCCCCAACCAGCCAUCUGCCUAAGAAAGGUCACAUGUUAUCAUCUCAUUUUUGUUUAGCCUCUGCAGCUGUGGACUAUCUUUAUUACAUAGGAAUUCUUUACUAGCUUGUCCUGUAUUUAAAAAUAUUCUAAGUUUUGAGGCAAAGAAGAUCCAGAUGCUGCAAUAAAUAUAUGCACUGAGGAGUUCACAGGCCUGACUUUUGGUCUCCUUUCUACCACUAACUGUGUUUUUGUUCCUCUCUGAGCUUCAUUUUCUCAUCUCCAAUACGGAAGUAUUAGAAUCAGUGAUCUCUAGGCUCUUUAAGAUUAAUGACUUUGAGAUAUCCCUGGGAGUCCUUAGCUCUUAUGGAGCAGCGUCCCUGGAUGUGUGGCUCCUUUUACCAGUGAAAAUGCAACCAGGAUUCUCUUCCCAACACCUAAAACUCACUUUUUCUAUGGGUAGUAGGGAAAGAUAAUGGGUAUUUUCAAAGGCUGUAGGGUCUGGACGCAGAGUUGUUUCAUGAAGGAAGUUGGGGUUUCCACUGGGUGGAGGCCCUAUUUCAGAGGCUUGUAAGCACGAUGGGGAAGAAAGAGUUGUUCCUUUCGCCAACUAGGAGAAGCUAGCGUCUGGAAUGAGGAAAAUGUUGAGGUUUUUACCCUGGAUUUGGCAUGUUGGGUGGCGGUGAAGUGGAGGACUCCUUUUUGUUACUUUCGUGUACUAUUUUGACUUCUGUAAUCAUUGCAAAAGGGGAGCAGCUCCUUGUGAAACAUGAGCUGACCUAGGGGCUGCAUGGGAACCAGAAAUAGCAACAUGGCAGCUUCCUUGAAGAGUGCAGAAGUUGAUUUGACAUUAAUUACAUCGAGAAAAUAAAACUGUGUCAACCUGGGUCAGAACAGGUCCUCACAGCGGAGCCUGAUUUAAAGGUGUAGGAACUUAUGUACACAUACAAACUCUCUCUCUCUCUCUCUGUCGUGCGCACACACACACACACACACACACACACACUCCUAGCCCUAUUCCUCCUUGAAGAGAAAGGCUUUCUUGCUCUUAUCCCCACCUCACAUUGUAAGAAGGGGCCAGGAGCUAAAGAAGAUAACAUAUGAAAAAUGCAACUACCCCCAGGAUUUUAAGAUUCAAAGAAGUGGAAAUCCUUGGGAGUGGUGCAUCCAUACUUGGGAAAGAAGGAAAUCCCUUCAUCUCUGCAUUCAUAGUCCCCUGAGACAGAAAGACUUUUUCUUUCUUAGGCUUCCAGUUGAUGUGGGAAGAAUCAUCCAGGUGGACCUGGCAGGAUGACAGGUUGGGUAAUGGAAGCCAGGGGAGUACUGUUUAAUCAAGUAUUCACUGUUCUCCAGCUGGGCUUACCAGUGGAGUGAAGUAGGAGUGGCAUGUGUGGGAAGGGGAAAGACCAAAAAAGCAAAAGUGACAUCCAUAUUCUCGGGCCCCAGCCAUCUUAACUAGUCUCACUUUAAUUACUUUUAGUAGGUCCUACCAUACUGUGAGAGAAGACCAACACAACUGAAGUUGCUGUUAUGAUUAGAUAUUUAUUGAGCACCAG